rnacentral:rRNA from 1 species
UACGAAGGGGGCUAGCGUUGCUCGGAAUCACUGGGCGUAAAGCGCACGUAGGCGGAUUGUUAAGUCAGGGGUGAAAUCCUGGAGCUCAACUCCAGAACUGCCUUUGAUACUGGCGAUCUCGAGUCCGGGAGAGGUGAGUGGAACUGCGAGUGUAGAGGUGAAAUUCGUAGAUAUUCGCAAGAACAACCAGUGGCGAAGCGCUCACUGGCCCGGUACUGACGCU